UACGAAGGGGGCUAGCGUUGCUCGGAAUUACUGGGCGUAAAGCGCACGUAGGCGGAUUGUUAAGUCGGGGGUGAAAUCCUGGAGCUCAACUCCAGAACUGCCUUCGAUACUGGCGAUCUCGAGUUCGGGAGAGGUGAGUGGAACUGCGAGUGUAGAGGUGAAAUUCGUAGAUAUUGGGAAGAACACCGGUGGCGAAGGCGGCUCACUGGCCAGUUUCUGACGCUGCAGCGCGAAAGCGUGGGGAUCAAACAGG
rnacentral:rRNA from 1 species